CCUACGGGAGGCAGCAGUGGGGAAUAUUGCACAAUGGGGGGAACCCUGAUGCAGCGACGCCGCGUGAGUGAAGAAGUAUUUCGGUAUGUAAAGCUCUAUCAGCAGGGAAGAUAAUGACGGUACCUGACUAAGAAGCCCCGGCUAACUACGUGCCAGCAGCCGCGGUAAUACGUAGGGGGCAAGCGUUAUCCGGAUUUACUGGGUGUAAAGGGUGCGUAGGCGGCAGUGGAAGUCAGAAGUGAAAGCCCGGGGCCCAACCCCGGGACUGCAGUUGACACUGUGCGGCUGGAGUGCAGGAGGGGUAGGCGGAAUUCCUGGUGUAGCGGUGAAAUGCGUAGAUAUUAGGAGGAACACCGGUGGCGAAGGCGGCUUACUGGACUGUAACUGACACUGAGGCACGAAAGCGUGGGGAGCAAACAGGAUUAGAUACCCGAGUAGUC
rnacentral:rRNA from 1 species